UGGCGAACGGGUGAGUAAUACAUCGGAACGUGUCCUGUAGUGGGGGAUAGCCCGGCGAAAGCCGGAUUAAUACCGCAUACGACCUAAGGGAGAAAGCGGGGGAUCUUCGGACCUCGCGCUAUAGGGGCGGCCGAUGGCAGAUUAGCUAGUUGGUGGGGUAAAGGCCUACCAAGGCGACGAUCUGUAGCUGGUCUGAGAGGACGACCAGCCACACUGGGACUGAGACGCGGCCCAGACUCCUACGGGAGGCAGCAGUGGGGAAUUUUGGACAAUGGGGGCAACCCUGAUCCAGCAAUGCCGCGUGUGUGAAGAAGGCCUUCGGGUUGUAAAGCACUUUUGUCCGGAAAGAAAACUUCGAGGCUAAUAUCCUUGGAGGAUGACGGUACCGGAAGAAUAAGCACCGGCUAACUACGUGCCAGCAGCCGCGGUAAUACGUAGGGUGCGAGCGUUAAUCGGAAUUACUGGGCGUAAAGCGUGCGCAGGCGGUCUGUUAAGACCGAUGUGAAAUCCCCGGGCUUAACCUGGGACUGCAUUGGUGACUGGCAGGCUUUGAGUGUGGCAGAGGGGGGGUAGAAUUCCACGUGUAGCAGUGAAAUGCGUAGAGAUGUGGAGGAAUACCGAUGGCGAAGGCAGCCCCCUGGGCCGACACUGACGCUCAUGCACGAAAGCGUGGGGAGCAAACAGGAUUAGAUACCCUGGUAGUCCACGCUCUAAACGAUGUCAACUAGUUGUUGGGGAUUCGUUUCCUUAGUAACGUAGCUAACGCGUGAAGUUGACCGCCUGGGGAGUACGGUCGCAAGAUUAAAACUCAAAGGAAUUGACGGGGACCCGCACAAGCGGUGGAUGAUGUGGAUUAAUUCGAUGCAACGCGAAAAACCUUACCUACCCUUGACAUGGUCGGAACCCUGCUGAAAGGUGGGGGUGCUCGAAAGAGAACCGGCGCACAGGUGCUGCAUGGCUGUCGUCAGCUCGUGUCGUGAGAUGUUGGGUUAAGUCCCGCAACGAGCGCAACCCUUGUCCUUAGUUGCUACGCAAGAGCACUCUAAGGAGACUGCCGGUGACAAACCGGAGGAAGGUGGGGAUGACGUCAAGUCCUCAUGGCCCUUAUGGGUAGGGCUUCACA
rnacentral:rRNA from 1 species